rnacentral:rRNA from 1 species
AGAGUUUGAUCCUGGCUCAGAAUCAACGCUGGCGGCGUGCCUCAGACAUGCAAGUCGAACGCGAAAGUUCCCUUCGGGGAAUAAGUAGAGUGGCGCACGGGUGAGUAACACGUAGGUAAUCUACCUUCGGGUGGGGAAUAACCCAGGGAAACUUGGGCUAACACCGCAUGAUGCAGCGGCACCACAUGGUGACAGUUGUUAAAGCGGGGGAUUUUAGGACCUCGCGCCUGAAGAGGAGCCUGCGGCGGAUUAGCUAGUCGGUGAGGUAACGGCUCACCAAGGUCACGAUCCGUAGCCGGCCUGAGAGGGCGGUCGGCCACACUGACACUGACAUACGGGUCAGACUCCUACGGGAGGCAGCAGUCGGGAAUUUUGGGCAAUGGGCGAAAGCCUGACCCAGCAACGCCGCGUGAAGGAUGAAAUCCCUCGGGAUGUAAACUUCGCAAGAAUGGGAAGAAUGAACGAGCGCUAAUACCGUUCGUGAUGACGGUACCAUUUGUAAGCUCCGGCUAACUCCGUGCCAGCAGCCGCGGUAAUACGGGGGGAGCAAGCGUUGUUCGGAUUUACUGGGCGUAAAGGGCGCGUAGGCGGCCAGCGCAAGUCAGUUGUGAAAUCUCCGGGCUUAACUCGGAAAGGUCAACUGAUACUGCGCGGCUAGAGUGCGGAAGGGGCAACUGGAAUUCUCGGUGUAGCGGUGAAAUGCGUAGAUAUCGAGAGGAACACCUGCGGCGAAGGCGGGUUGCUGGGCCGACACUGACGCUGAGGCGCGAAAGCCAGGGGAGCGAACGGGAUUAGAUACCCCGGUAGUCC